rnacentral:rRNA from 1 species
AACGAACGCUGGCGGCAGGCUUAACACAUGCAAGUCGAACGGGUGUAGCAAUACAUCAGUGGCAGACGGGUGAGUAACACGUGGGAACCUUCCUAGGGGUACGGAACAACUCAGGGAAACUUGAGCUAGUACCGUAUACGUCCGUGAGGAGAAAGAUUUAUCGCCCUUAGACGGGCCCGCGUCAGAUUAGCUAGUUGGUGGGGUAACGGCCUACCAAGGCGACGAUCCGUAGCUGAUCUUAGAGGAUGAUCAGCCACACUGGGACUGAGACACGGCCCAGACUCCUACGGGAGGCAGCAGUGGGGAAUCUUGGACAAUGGGCGCAAGCCUGAUCCAGCCAUGCCGCGUGAGUGAAGAAGGUCUUCGGAUUGUAAAGCUCUUUUGCCAGGGACGAUAAUGACGGUACCUGGAGAAUAAGCCCCGGCAAACUUCGUGCCAGCAGCCGCCGUAA